rnacentral:misc_RNA from 1 species
GGAAGUAAAAGCCGUAACAAGGUUUCCGUAGGUGAACCUGCGGAAGGAUCAUUAUCGUAUAACCGAGGUGCGAGGGCUGUCGCUGACCCGAAAGGUCGUGCACGCCCGAGUGCCCUCACACACAUCCAUCUCACCCCUAUGUGCACCACCGCGUGGGUCCCCCUUUGGCUUGUUCGGAGGGGGGCUUACGUUUUCACACAAACUUUGUAUGCAGUGUAGAAUGUAUUUUUUGUUUUUGCGAUCACGCAAUCAAUACAACUUUCAACAACGGAUCUCUUGGCUCUC